rnacentral:misc_RNA from 1 species
UGGUUCUGGCAUCGAUGAAGAACGCAGCGAAAUGCGAUAAGUAAUGCGAAUUGCAGAAUUCCAGUGAGUCAUCGAAUCUUUGAACGCACAUUGCGCCCUUUGGUAUUCCGAAGGGCAUGCCUGUUCGAGCGUCAUUAUCACCCCUCAAGCCCCGUGCUUGGUGUUGGACGGCCGGUCGAGCGAUCGACCCCUCCGAAAGACAAUGACGGCGGUCUGUGGUUCCCCCGGUACACUGAGCUUUUCACCGAGCACGUAUCGGACAAGGGCACCCGGGACCCGGUCCUCUCCUUUCACAAGGAAACUUCUAAAGGUUGACCUCGGAUCAGGUAGGAAUACGCGCUGA